AUUGAACGCUGGCGGCAGGCCUAACACAUGCAAGUCGAACGAGAGGCGGACGGGUGAGUAAUGUGUGGGAAUGUAGCUUAGGGAGGGAGAUAACUAGGGGACAAUGUAGAUAAGAGCGCGAACCACAGUGUGGGCCGAAGGGGGAUUGGGUAGUUGGUGAGGUAAAGGCUCACAAAGACGACGAUCUCUAGCUGGUCUGCGAGGAGGACCAGCCACCCUGGGACUGAGACACGUCCCAGACUCCUACGGGAGGGAGCAGUGGGGAAGAUUGAGCAAGGGGGGCAACCUGACGCAGCCAUGCCGCGUGAAUGAAGAAGGCCGUCGGGUUGUAAAGUUCUUUCGGUAGAGAGGCGUUAACUACAGAAGAAGCACCGGCUAACUCCGUGCCAGCAGCCGCGGUAAUUC
rnacentral:rRNA from 1 species